rnacentral:rRNA from 1 species
UACGGGGGGGGCAAGCGUUGUUCGGAAUUACUGGGCGUAAAGGGCUCGUAGGCGGCCAACUAAGUCAUACGUGAAAUCCCUCGGCUUAACCGGGGAACUGCGUCUGAUACUGGAUGGCUUGAGUUCGGGAGAGGGAUGCGGAAUUCCAGGUGUAGCGGUGAAAUGCGUAGGAGAUCGGAAAGAACACCAACGGCGAAAAGCACUCUGC